rnacentral:tRNA from 18 species
GGGGAAUUAGCUCAGCUGGGAGAGCGCGGGCUUUGCAAGCCUGAGGUCAGGGGUUCGAUCCCCCUAUUCUCCACCA